CUCACCCAGCUUCCUCAAACGCCCACGCCGACUUCAGGCGCGCGCGCAGGAAGGAGACUGCUGCGCCACAACCCUGCCGGCGUCCCGCGGCUCCACCUCAGCCCCGGGAGCCCGGAGCUGGGAGCAGACGCGAGGAUAGAGCGCCGGUGGUGAGUCCCUCACUUCUGAACCACUUCUGUAACACAGCACUCUGGAUUAAAGAAGGAAACACUGCACUCCAGCCUGGGCAACAACAGCAAAACUCCAUUUCAAAAAAACAAAGUGGCCACUGGACCAGGCACAGUGGCUCGCGCCUGUAAUCCCAGCACUUUGGGAGGUUAAGGCAGGUGGAUCACCUGAAGUCAGGAGUUCGAGACCAGCCUGGCCAAAAUGGUGAAACCCCAUCUCUACUAAAAAAAAUAAAAAUUGGCUGGGCGUGGUGACGGGCACCUCUAAUCCCAGCUACUUGGGAGGCUGAGGUAGGAGAAUCACUUGAACCCAGGAGGCGGAGGUUGCAGUGAGCCAAGAUUGCACCAUUGCACUCCAGCCUGGGCAACAAGAGUGAAACUCCAUCUCAAAAAAAAAAAAAAAAGCGGACACUGGAGUUUUUUUCUAGAAUUGCUAAAUCAACUAGCUUCACUGAUUUCUGCAGCCAAUAAACCAUCAAGUUAGACAGGAAAAAGUAGAAUCUGGAUGUUUGGUGUGUUUUUCAUUCAGUACCCACAGAGAAGGCCCUCAUAAAAAGAAAAGUACAGUAAUUCCAGUAGGCUAAUUUUCUGAUCUUAAUAUUUCCACCCAUAUGGAGGGUGUCCCAAAAGUCUUGGAACGGUUUUGAGCCUUAAUAAGUUCAGGAAUAUAAAUCCAGCAAGCUCGUUUAAAAAAAAAAGUCAUCUGGAGGUUUAAUUGGUUAAAUUUCAUAACACUUCAGUUUUGUGACUUUUGAUAACAUAUUUUUCGGUUUCCCUGUUGUUUAAGUACCUAUGUUUGAAAAUGGCAACAGUCACUGCUUUUAAGUUAGUUAUUACAGCUCAAAACUGCACCAAAACUUUUGGAAUUCAUGUAUGAUUCCUAAGUCAGAAACCUGAUCCUAGCUCAUUUCACUGGAUGACCAACAUUUUAACACUAGAAUGAACUAAAUUAUUUUCUUUAGAAGUUUCAGUUAUUUUUGGCCAGGCAUGGUGGCUCACGCCUGUAAUCCCAGCACUUUGGGAGGCCAAGGGGGGCGGAUCAUGAGGUCAAGAGAUCGAGACCAUCCUGGCCAACAUGGUGAAACCCCAUCUCUAUUAAAAAUAUAAAAAUUAGGCCGGGCAUGGUGGCUCAAGCCCGUAAUCCCAGCACUUUGGGAGGCCAAGGCAGGUGGAUCAUGAGGUCAGGGGUUUGAGACCAUCCUGGCCAACAUGGUGAAACCCCGUCUCUACAAAAAAUACAAAAAUAGGCCAGGCGCGGUGGCUCACACCUGUAAUCCCAG
rnacentral:lncRNA from 10 species